rnacentral:ribozyme from 13 species
UCUUUGGUGCUAGUUUGUCCUUCUGCUUUUGCUUCAGUUUCUUUUCUGUUUCUUUCUCCUGAUAAGCUUGUCGAAUCUUCU